rnacentral:rRNA from 1 species
GACGAACGCUGGCGGCGUGCCUAAUACAUGCAAGUCGAACGCAGUGGGUACGGGUGAGUAACACGUGGGUAACCUCCCCAUCAGAGGGGAUAACACUUGGAAACAGGUGCUAAACCGAUACUGAUGGAUGGACCCGGGGUGCAUGAGCUAUUUGGUGAGGUAACGGCUCACCAAGGCCACGAUGCAUAGCCGACCUGAGAGGUUGAUCGGCAAAACUGGGACUGAGACACGGCCCAGACGCCUACGGAAGGCAGCAUGGGGGAAUCUUCGGCAAGGGACGAAAGUCUGACCGAGCAACGGCGCGUGAGGGAAGAAGGUUUUCGGAUCGAAAACCUCUGUUGUUAGAGAAGCGUUAUCUAACCAGAAAGCCACGGCUAACUACGUGCCAGCAGCCGCGGUAAUAC